CCAGCCCUGCACCUGCUAGCAUCGCAGGUCAGGCUGCUUUGCCAUACCUGUGACACUGGGGGCAAAGAGCAAGUGGUUAUUUCUACACUCAGCGUUCACAAGCCAGUGAGUGCGGGGAGGGUGGAUAACCUGACAUGU
ensembl:snoRNA